AAGGGAAAGCUAGCAGGAAAGGAAGAGGGAUAAAGGCCAUGUGACAAGGAAGGGCUGCACUCAGCACAGCCUGCACAUAUGCACUUCUGAGUAGCACUUCUUACAUGCAGCCAAAAUAUGAGGCUUGCAGAUGUUUCUUCUACUCAGCUUUAGUGUAUUGCAGGCCUACCUGUCACAGAAAUCAUUGCAGAGCAUAUCCAAAAGGUCUCAUCUUGAGUACUGGCACUGUGUUCCCAGUUGUGAACUUUCUACUGGCUCCUAUGAAGGUGGGAAAAAGCAUAUAUGGGUAGGCUACAUAGUUUUGUGCUGAGGGGAUGAGCAGGCUGAAGUCUGUCCCCAUCUACAUCCAGGUGAGCUCCUGAAACAAAUGGUCUGUCUGAUGGGGAAAGUGCUCAAAUCCACCUUGAGCUCAUCCCAGAUGCCAUAAUCCAAACAUUUCCUUUUAGGUAAUCAUUUAAAGGUAUGUGUUUAUUAAAAUCCUAUCAAGCUAGGAUUAGUGAUGUAUUCUCCUACAGAAGCAGGUGACAUAGACAAACUGGCAAGUAGAGCUUCGUCAUCUCCCUCCUGCUGCUAGGUAGCAUCUUACUUGGCACAAAUCAGGCCACUCUGUUGGCAUGAAUGCUCACAUUUGGCUGGAGCCAUGUUUCUUUGACAGUCUCUUUUGUAGCUGCCAAAAUUCAGCACAUCCAAACCAGCUCCACUUGCUGGACAGAUUAUUUAUGUCAAACAUGUUAAACUCAGUUUAAUCUGCAGGUAAAAUGAACAGUAGUGCUAAUGAACAGCUGCCUGUGUGUAACAUUAAUUUGUCUCCAAGCCCAAGGAAUCUGUACCAGUGGGAACAGCCAGAAUCACCGCGGUCUGCGGAGAUGCUGCAGAGAAAGGAGGAUGCACCAAUGAGCAAAGGGAUUUCUUGCCUCCAUAACUAGCAAGAGAAUGUCAGAUUUGUGCCAAUUAGAGCUAGAGACCAACAGACACAUGAGACCUGCACCAUUUCUUGUGGGGAACACACAGCUGACUCCUCCCUGCCAUCUAGGAGGUGGACAUGGCCUGGUUCUGAACAGAGGUUCUGGACAAAGAUGGAGACUUGAGCACAUCACCUAACCUACCGGGCUGGGCUGGCCAGCGUGGCAGCAAAUUGCAUUUCUGCUCCAAGAGACGUAGAAGAUGAUUGCCAGGGAGACCCGCUCUCCACAGACCUACAGCAAUUCCUCUGGAGGCCUCCUCUCCAAAUGGGGGAUCAUUUUGUAAGGGAUCGACGGUGAUUGCCAAAACCUCUCUGCCCUGAAGCCAGCAAGUGGAAACGUUUCCGUUUCUCCUCUGGAUCUGACCCGAAGUCCUGGGACCCGAUGCCAUUCUGGAGAUUUAUUAGUGAAUCCUUCAUCUGCAAGACAAGAAACGUCUCCAAUGUGCUACCCUGAAGGUGACAGCACUUUGGGAUUUCCUUCCUCAUCAGCGCCUCCUCCAUCCAUGAUGUUCUCCUUGACUUGUCUGGAUGCCUGUGAGAUGAUAGAGAACCCAUCUGAACAGCCCUUGGGACUUCCUGCCCAACCCAGUGUCAGAAGACUGACUUAAAGGGAGAUGGGACAGAGGCAAUGCACCUGUUGGGCUGCAGUGGUCCAUGUAAUGCUGAGGGAUUGCAGGCCUAAUCAAUCCUCCAGAUGCAAGCACUCAAGCUACUGAUAAGAAGAUCCCCAGGACUGGCUGCCCUGAGAUGCAAUUCAGGGGCUCAAGCAGGUGCAAGCAGUGUGCCUGGAUAGCAGGUGGAGUUUGCCUGGGCUAAGGUGAGGAUAAAUCUCCAUGGAGCAUAAAGAUGUGAGGAGGAGCAGAGUCAAGACAGUUGCAGGAAGACUUCAGGGCAUAUCAGGGCCCUUUUUGCACACUUUUCCCUGGAGAGGUACUUUGUUUUUGUAUGCCCUCAUCUAACUCUAUUGCUUUGUCUUGGGCCUCACUGGUUUCUAAAGGUAGGUAAGCUUGUAGAUAAGCUUUUGUCUUCUGCUGGGUGUCUCUUCUUUAUUCUCUUGGGCUUUGCUUGUCUGUAAAACAACUAAAUCAUUGCUUUGUCUUCAACUUACCUCUUAGAAUCCCUCCUCUCUUAGCUAUUGCCUGUCUUAUACCUCUUAAGCUUUACAGGAUGUAGUGGAGAUUUUCAUGUGUCCUCCCUGGAAACUGAGUGGAUAGCCUUGCUAUGGCUAUAACCUCUCAGAUAUGUUUGUUCUUUCUCCUAGUGCUAUAAUUUAACAGAGGUUCUUCUCUUAACUUAGCACCCACUGCUCAUUUGCUAUUGCUGACUGCUUCAGGGAUGCUCCUUGUUUUGCAGAGAUUUAUCCUCACCUUGAGCCAGUCAUGCUUCACCUACUUGCCCGGUGUGCUGCAGCCACUUGGUUGUGAGUAGCAACCUGUCCUGGUGAUCUUUCCAGGUCCUCAAGCUUCCCAGGAGUUUGAGUGCUUGCAACUGUCCUGCUCAAGCAGCUCCAAACGUGGAUAUAAAGCAAUGACAUUUCAAGUAUAACAACAAAAAGCUACUGCAAUUUAAAAAUGGAUGCACUCUCAAUCUCUAAUAAAUAGCAGUCUACUUCUAA